rnacentral:misc_RNA from 1 species
GUAGCAUCCGUUAAUGACAUUGCGCCGCGAGCCACUCUUGCUCCCGCGAACGAUGAGCGAGAACGACUCGAAGGCAAGCGUCAUUCAAGGCAACCGAAAUUCGAGGGACACAAUGGGCAUCAACCCACGAUCACCGCAUGGACUGCAUCCGAGAGAACGGUGCAUGCUCGUGUACCACGGAAGUCAUAACGACGCACAACAAACGUGGAGCACGUGCAUCACCUCGAUAUCCUCCGGCAACCCCGCAAAGGGAGCCCGGAUGGAACGAGAAUCACUAGCCAAAUGAGUACCAUUUAACGGGUAGUCAGCACAGGAACCGCGAAUGAACACCAGAGCC